CAGCCGCCACGGUAAUACGUAGGGUGCGAGCGUUAAUCGGAUUUACUGGGCGUAAAGCGUGCGUAGGCGGCUUUUUAAGUCGGAUGUGAAAUCCCUGAGCUUAACUUAGGAAUUGCAUUCGAUACUGGGAAGCUAGAGUAUGGGAGAGGAUGGUAGAAUUCCAGGUGUAGCGGUGAAAUGCGUAGAGAUCUGGAGGAAUACCGAUGGCGAAGGCAGCCAUCUGGCCUAAUACUGACGCUGAGGUACGAAAGCAUGGGGAGCAAACAGGAUUAGAUACCCGUGUAGUCCCUGUCUCUUAUAC
rnacentral:rRNA from 1 species